rnacentral:lncRNA from 1 species
UUUAAAGGGCAAAUCUCCAAAAUAGCACAUUUCUAAGUUUAUAUCACAAAAAUAGCACUCAAAAACUAAAAUGACCAAAAUAGCAUUAUAUCUUUUGAAAAUUUUAAUUUUUACCCUAAAUUCAAAAUUUGAAAUCUUAUCCCCAAAACCUCAUUUCUCAACUCUAAACCCUAAACCCUAAACUCUAAACCCUAAACCCUAAAUUCUAAACCCUAAACCCUAAACCCUAAACCCUAAACUCUAAACUCUAAACCCUAAACUCUAAACCCUAAACCCUAAAUUCUAAACCCCACCCUUUAACUCUAAACUCUAAAUUUGUGACUUUUGAUAAAACAUUAAGUGCUA